UACAGAGGCCUCAAGCGUUAAUCGGAAUCACUGGGCGUAAAGGGCGCGUAGGCGGCGUGACAAGUCACUUGUGAAAUCUCCGGGCUUAACUCGGAACGGUCAAGUGAUACUGUCGUGCUAGAGUACAGAAGGGGCAACUGGAAUUCUCGGUGUAGCGGUGAAAUGCGUAGAUAUCGAGAGGAACACCUGCGGCGAAGGCGGGUUGCUGGGCUGAUACUGACGCUGAGGCGCGAAAGCCAGGGGAGCGAACGGG
rnacentral:rRNA from 1 species